UGUAGACUGAGUAUUGCCAUAUCUAGGCGUUAUUUGGUUAUUUCUGUCAUUUGGUUGCUGUCUCAUUGCCGUUAACAUCAUCUUUUAUUAUAACUCAAUUAAAACACAUUUAUGUUAUGCUUGUGACGUGACGACUUUCAAAUUGAUGAAUGUUGCUCGAGUAAACGAUUGCCGAUUUAUCGAAUGAGCAAAAGAAUGGAGAGCUAUAUUUAUUUAACUGGCAAACUUUUAUAUCAAAGAUUCAAAUUACGAAAAGAAAAAAAAAAGACAAAAACCGACCUACAAUUAUUACAAGCGAAAUGUUAAAUGGUAUUAACACACA
rnacentral:lncRNA from 1 species